AAUCAACGCUGGCGGCGUGCCUCAGACAUGCAAGUCGAACGAUUAAACUUUCCUUCGGGAAAGAUAUAAAGUGGCGCACGGGUGAGUAACACGUAAGUAAUCUACCUUCGAGUGGGGAAUAACGUUCGGAAACGAACGCUAAUACCGCAUAAUGCAGCGGCACCUAAUGGUGACAGUUGUUAAAGGAGCAAUUCGCUUGAAGAGGAGCUUGCGGCAGAUUAGCUAGUUGGAAGGUAACGGCUUACCAAGGCUACGAUCUGUAACCGGUCUAAGAGGACGGUCGGUCACACUGACACUGAAUAACGGGUCAGACUCCUACGGGAGGCAGCAGUCGGGAAUUUUGGGCAAGUGGGCGAAAGCCUGACCCAGCAACGCCGCGUGAAGGAUG
rnacentral:rRNA from 1 species